rnacentral:rRNA from 1 species
CAGUAGCCACGGGAAAACGGAGGGUGCAAGCGUUAAUCGGAAUUACUGGGCGUAAAGCGUGCGUAGGUGGUGGUUUAAGUCCGUUGUGAAAGCCCUGGGCUCAACCUGGGAAUUGCAGUGGAUACUGGGUCACUAGAGUGUGGUAGAGGAUAGUGGGAUUUCCGGUGUAGCAGUGAAAUGCGUAGAGAUCGGAAGGAACAUCUGUGGCGAAGGCGACUAUCUGGGCCAACACUGACACUGAGGCACGAAAGCGUGGGGAGCAAACAGGAUUAGAUACCCGCGUAGUCCCUGUCUCUUAUAA